AUUAUUGGUGGACUAACGAUAAAGUACUUUGCAGGUACAUGCAACACCCCAAACUUCUAUGUAAUUAGUGCAUUAUUGUUUAGCCCCACGAAUAAUACAUA
rnacentral:ncRNA from 13 species